rnacentral:rRNA from 1 species
GGUGAACGCUGGCGGCGUGCUUAAGACAUGCAAGUCGAACGGCAGUCUUCGGACUGUAGUGGCGCACGGGUGAGUAACGCGUAACUGACCUACCCCAAAGUCGCGGAUAACGAUUCGAAAGAAUCGCUAAUACGUGAUGUGCUGUCAGAUUGUGUUCUGCCAGUAAAGAUUGAUUGCUUUGGGAUGGGGUUGCGUUCCAUCAGCUAGUUGGUGGGGUAAAGGCCCACCAAGGCGACGACGGAUAGCCGGCCUGAGAGGGUGGCCAGCCACAGGGGCACUGAGGAACGGGUCCCACUCCUACGGGAGGCAGCAGGUAGGAAUAUUCCACAAUGGGCGAAAGCCUGAUGGAGCGACGCCGCGUGAGGGAUGAAGGCCUUCGGAUCGUAAACCGCUGAAUCAGGGACGAAAGACACUUCGGUGGGAUGACGGUACCUGAGUAAUAGCACCGGCUAACUCCGUGCCAGCCGCCGCAGUAACAC